GUUGUGAUUGCGUUUGCCUGCUUACGCUUCUUUGUUCCUUACCUUAGUGACCUCAUUUCUCCCAUAAGCCUAUUGAGAAGACUGUCCGUCAAUCAUGGGUAAAGAAGCUCGUGCUUAUCCAACUAAUUCCUUCCCAAGGGGAGGAAAAGGCCACCUCUGGGUUAAGAGAAUCUCACACUUUCCCAUCUCGUUCUGCCACUAC
rnacentral:lncRNA from 1 species